CAGCAGCCGCGGUAAUACGGAGGGAGCUAGCGUUGUUCGGAAUUACUGGGCGUAAAGCGCGCGUAGGCGGUUACUCAAGUCAGAGGUGAAAGCCCGGGGCUCAACCCCGGAACUGCCUUUGAAACUAGGUGACUAGAAUCUUGGAGAGGUCAGUGGAAUUCCGAGUGUAGAGGUGAAAUUCGUAGAUAUUCGGAAGAACACCAGUGGCGAAGGCGACUGACUGGACAAGUAUUGACGCUGAGGUGCGAAAGCGUGGGGAGCAAACAGGAUUAGAUACCCCCGUAGUCCCUGUCUCUUAUAC
rnacentral:rRNA from 1 species